UGGGGAAUUUUGGACAAUGGGCGAAAGCCUGAUCCAGCAAUGCCGCGUGUGUGAAGAAGGCCUUCGGGUUGUAAAGCACUUUUGUCUGGAAAGAAAUCCUUGGCUCUAAUACAGUCGGGGGAUGACGGUACCGGAAGAAUAAGCACCGGCUAACUACGUGCCAGCAGCCGCGGUAAUACGUAGGGUGCAAGCGUUAAUCGGAAUUACUGGGCGUAAAGCGUGCGCAGGCGGUUUGCUAAGACCGAUGUGAAAUCCCCGGGCUCAACCUGGGAACUGCAUGGUGACUGGCAGGCUAGAGUAUGGCAAGGGGGGUAGAAUUCCACGUGUAGCAGUGAAAUGCGUAGAGAUGUGGAGGAAUACCGAUGGCGAAGGCAGCCCCCUGGGCCAAUACUGACGCUCAUGCACGAAAGCGUGGGGAGCAAACAGGAUUAGAUACCCUGGUAGUCCACGCCCUAAACGAUGUCAACUAGUUGUUGGGAUUCAUUUUCCUUAGUAACGUAGCUAACGCGUGAAGUUGACCGCCUGGGGAGUACGGUCGCAAGAUUAAAAAGC
rnacentral:rRNA from 1 species